CUCUGCCCAGAGCAGCACCAUGCUUUUGAUGUCAUUACUGAAUGCCUUGGAUGUCAAGAGUUGUUUGGGACUUCUUCUCAUAUCGUUACUAAUUUUUGAUUUUUGGAAAAGUAAGAAUGCGCCGAACUUUCCACCAGGACCAUGGAGUUUUCCGUUUCUUGGCAACGUUUUCGUCGGUUUCGACUGUCGUGCGAUGGAUGAGGGCACACUGGUCAUCUGUAAUCUUUCAUCUGUGCUAAAGGAUCCAUCACAAUGGGAAAAACCAGAUCAGUUUUAUCCUGAACACUUCCUGAACCAAAGGAAUUUUAGGAAACGGGAAGCAUUUUAUCCAUUUUCGGCAGGGAAAAGGUCAUGUCUUGGUGAGCAGCUGGCACGAAAUACACUCUUCCUCUUCUUCACUUCCCUCCUCCAGAGGUUCUCAUUCUCAGCUCCUGAAGGACUAGGACCUCGCUUUAAGGACCAGGAACAGGUCAAGACGUCCCAAGAACCCUCCCAGAUCUUUGUGUCAUUACGUUGAUAGAAACUAUAGGAAUCACAUCUGAACUGAUACUGAGUUCUAUUAAUAGAUGGAUGUUAUGUUAAUACAUGCAGUAAAAUGCAGUCAACAUGCAGUACAGUGUUUAGAUGAAAUAAUAUAUCUCUGCAUAUAAAUCUCUUUAUCUCUCUCUCUCUCUCUCUCUAUCUGUCUAUAUAUCGGUCUGUCUGUCUGUUUGAUUCUGUUCAACAUGAAAAAAUUUAUUUGAUAGUGAUGAAGUAUUUGCAAGGACAUAUGCGUUAUUAAUAUAAUCAUUAUGUUUUUUUAUGUUUAGACUGCAAAAUGUUAAUACAAUGCAAAUGUGAAAAUUAUGCUAAAUUGUAGCAUGUAAUUUUAAGAUCCACUUUAUUCCCCAGAAACAAAGAAUGAAUAA